rnacentral:rRNA from 1 species
AGAGUUUGAUCCUGGCUCAGAAUGAACGUUGGCGGCGUGGAUUAGGCAUGCAAGUCGAGCGUGUACCCCGCAAGGGGGAAAGCGGCGAAAGGGACAGGAACACGUAGAUUACCUACCCUCUGGUUCAGGAUAGCUGCGGGAAACUGCAGGUAAUACUGAAUAACGUCUCCGGACCAAAGGUGUGAUUCCACCGGAGGAUGGGUCUGCGUCCUAUUAGCUUGUUGGUGAGGUAAUGGCUCACCAAGGCAAUGAUGGGUAGCGGGUGUGAGAGCACGACCCGCGUCACUGGGACUGAGAUACUGCCCAGACACCUACGGGUGGCUGCAGUCGAGGAUCUUCGGCAAUGGGCGCAAGCCUGACCGAGCGACGCCGCGUGCGGGAUGAAGGCCUUCGGGUUGUAAACCGCUGUCAGAGGGGAUGAAAUACAGGUGGGUUCUCCCAUCUGCUUGACAUAUCCUCAGAGGAAGUACGGGCUAAGUUCGUGCCAGCCGCCGCGGUAAUAC